rnacentral:lncRNA from 1 species
AUUUCCCAGAGACUUUAGAAUGGCAGCAAGUAAACCACAAUGAUCUUGGAGCCAAAGCGUCUGUGGUCACCAUGUAUACACAGACAUAGACGCAUUGUCUUCUACUUCCGAAGAUGAUUUUCUCAGCAGAUUUUUCCCCCAUUGUGCCCGCACUGUGGCAAACACAAGAGGACAUGAAUGGUUGGCGGUGCAGUGUGGUGGAAGUGCAUUGCAGUGGAUCCCAAGGAAACCAGAGGCAAAUUCUGGCUCUGCCACUAGCAAGGCUCUGUGGCUAGGGUACCCCUGUGGAAUUCAGCCUCCUCAUCCGUGAAAUGAAGAAGUGAAACAAAAACAUCUUAAUGUUAUUUCUAACACCUGCUUUCUCUGGAUUCAGCAUCAGAAUAUAUCCAGAUAAGACUGCAAACAACUGAGAGAGCUAAUUCUUUGCUGUUGGGGUGAACUCUGAUACUUAGUGUCAAUAAAAACUCUAUGGUGCCCUGGACAUUUCAGAUAACAGAUCAUCCAGCAGAGUCUGUAGGAACCAGGGAUUCCUCACCUACGGCUCAGUGAGACCAAGAAUGUUUAAAAGCCUGCCGUGGUCUCCCCAUCCCUGCAGGGAGCUUCUACUAAACUGUGAGAAACAUCAGAACAAGAACUGAAGAUGUCUUCGGGUUUUUUUGUUACUGUUUGUUUGAGACGGAGUCUCACUCUGUCACCACGCUGGACUGCGGUGGCAACCUCUCAGCUCGCUGCAACCUCCACCUCCCGAGUUCAAGCGAUUCUCCUGCCUCAGCCUCCCGAGUAGCUGGGGCUACAGGUGCAUGCCAUCAUGCCCAGCUAAUUUCUGUAUUUUUAGUAGAGACGGGGUUUCACCAUGUUGGCCAGGAUAGUCUCGAUCUCUUGACCUUGUGAUCUGCCCGCCUCAGCCUAAAGAUGCCUUCUUUGCAAGUAUGUUUGCAAUGCUCCACAACUAUUUAUUGAAUGAACAAGUGUUUGAAGAAUCCUUGACUUUUGGAGGAACCAUAUGACCUUGGGAAUGCUCACCAAUGACAAUUUUUCACUCUGAAUCAUAAUGUGAGAGCAGAAAAUUAUCAAAACAUGUUUGUAUUUCACAUUGAAAUUAAUUGAAUAAAUAUAUAAUUCAUCAUCCU